AUUUUUCCAUUCUCUCUCCAAAACAGACGUUUCUUCUCCUCCCUUUCCUUUUCUUCACAAAUUCCAUUGUUGCUUAGCCAUGACAGACCUGCCAUUACCAUUUUUGAACAAGAAGCUCUGUACCUCAUUUAAUUUUAUUCAACAUCAACGUUCAAAUUUCAAAAACAUUCAAGAGCUUUUCAUUCAAUUUCGAAAUCCCGCCUAAACCAAGAACCCUAGAAAUCAGCCUAGAAAUACCCGCCUUUGAAGAGAUUUUCGACCAAGCUGAGAGCCGCCCCUUUUACCCCAAAAAUUGAAGGUCUUCGGUCGUUGCCUUCACCCGUUGAGACCAAACUUAGAGCCACCGCUCUUCCCCUCUAUAAAUUAUUCUAUGCUUAUUAACUGUUAUUCAUCUCAGAAAAGCUUCAUUCUUUUUUGACUCCACAACUAUUUCUGUUGGGUAUUUACCCUUGCAUAAAAUCGAUUAUCUUCAUUUAUUUUAGUCGAAUAUGCUUUUGUCCGAGAGGAAAGAGUGGUCUUAAAAUCAGAGUUCGAUAACGCAUCUAAGAUUCGUGCCUCGGUUCGUUGCUUCGCAACAGGGUUUGGUCAAAAAGGUGAUAAUUAGUCAAAACUAGCUCAAAAAGGUUUGAAACAUGCACAAGUACCAAGAACAAGUCAAAGCACAGUUGCAACAGACCCACCGCGUCCGCAAGCCAUUUAGUGCAGUCCGCAAUGAGGAGAUUCAGAGAGGUGCACUUUUGCAGCCUAAGGCAAUGCGGUCCGCAAUGGAUUUAUUGCGGUCGCAGUAGCCUCUUUGUGGCCGCAAUCUAUUUUGUGCAGUCCGCGGAGAAGGGGGCCCAGAGAGUUGGGUGUUUGAAGAUAAAAGCCAAUGCGGUCUGCGGUACUUUUUGUGCGGACCGCAAUUGAAGCCACCGCGGCUGUGGUGCAUUUUAUGUGGCCCGCAGUAGCCAGAUUCAGAGAGUGAAUAGUCAAUCCAAGAAGCCUCAUCGCGGUCCGCGGUGCAUUUUAUGUCGACCGCAGUACCUCGUCAGGGGUAUAUUUGUCCAGAAAAUUUGGACUAGUAUAAAUACUUUCUUUUCACAUUUUUAUGGCAUCUUUUGUAAUCUAUUAGACUCCAAAGCACGUGAACGGCUAUUUUACUCUAUUUUGAGUAAUUUGUAGCUAGAUUAACACUGAAUAUACAUUAUCUUUGACUGUAAUUAAAUCUUAUGGGUUAUUCUUCAUCUA